UCAUAAGAUGGGCACGCCCUCUAUUAGUUAGUUGGUAAGGUAACGGCUUACCAAGGCCUUGAUAGAUAGGGGCCCUGAGAGGGGUAUCCCCCACACUGGUACUGAGACACGGACCAGACUCCUACGGGAGGCAGCAGUGAGGAAUAUUGGACAAUGGAGGCAACUCUGAUCCAGCCAUGCCGCGUGCAGGAAGACGGCCUUAUGGGUUGUAAACUGCUUUUAUAGAGGAAGAGCCUCAAGUUUGCGAACUUGACCGACGGUACUCUAUGAAUAAGGAUCGGCUAACUUCGUGCCAGCAGCCGCGGUAAUACGAAGGAUCCAAGCGUUAUCCGGAAUUAUUGGGUUUAAAGGGUCCGUAGGCGGGCAAUUAAGUCAGUGGUGAAAUCUUUCGGCUCAACCGGAAGCUUGCCGUUGAAACUGGUAGUCUAGAGUCAUUGUGCAGUGGUUGGAACGUGCAGUGUAGUGGUGAAAUACAUAGAUAUUGCGCAGAACACCGAUUGUGAAGACAGAUCACUAACAAUGUACUGACGCUGAGGGACGAAAGCGUGGGGAGCAAACAGGAUUAAAUACCCUGGUAGUCCACGCCGUAAACGAUGGUCACUAGCUGCUUGGUCUAAUUGAGGGCUGAGUGGUUGAGGGAAAGUAUUAAGUGACCCCCCCUGGGGGAGUACGUUCGCAAGAAUGAAACUCAAAGGAAUUGACGGGGGCCCGCACAAGCGGUGGAGCAUGUGGUUUAAUUCGAUGAUACGCGAGGAACCUUACCAGGGCUUAAAUGUAGAUUGACAGUUUAGGAAACUAGACCUUCUUCGGACAAUUUACAAGGUGCUGCAUGGUUGUCGUCAGCUCGUGCCGUGAGGUGUCAGGUUAAGUCCUAUAACGAGCGCAACCCUUUUCGUUAGUUACCAGCGAGUAAUGUCGGGGACUCUAGCGAUACUGCCGGUGCAAACCGUGAGGAAGGUGGGGAUGACGUCAAAUCAUCACGGCCCUUACGUCCUGGGCUACACACGUGCUACAAUGGAUGGGACAGAGAGCAGCCACUGGGCGACCAGGAGCGAAUCUACAAACCCAUUCUCAGUUCGGAUCGAAGUCUGCAACCCGACUUCGUGAAGCUGGAAUCGCUAGUAAUCGCAGAUCAGCCAUGCUGCGGUGAAUACGUUCCCGGGCCUUGUACACACCGCCCGUCAAGCCAUGGAAGCCGGGGGUGCCUGAAGUUCGUUUCCGCAAGGAGCGACCUAGGGCAAAACUGGUAACUGGGGCUAAGUCGUAACAAGGUAUCA
rnacentral:rRNA from 1 species